UCGUCUAUAUACGUAUAGCAUAUCAAUAAGCGGAGGAAAAGAAACUAACAAGGAUUCCCUUAGUAACGGCGAGUGAAGCGGGAAGAGCUCAAAUUUGAAAUCUUCAAGGUUCUACCUUGACGAAUUGUAGUUUAAAGAAGUGUUUUCUGUUAGAGGAGUAGCAAAAGUUCUUUGGAAUAGGGACAUCAUAGAGGGUGAGAAUCCCGUAUUUGGUCAUUCUUUCUAGCUUUGUGAUACACUUUCAAAGAGUCGGAUUGUUUGGGAAUGCAGUCCAAAAUGGGUGGUAAAUUUCAUCUAAAGCUAAAUAUUGGCGAGAGACCGAUAGCGAACAAGUACCGUGAGGGAAAGAUGAAAAGAACUUUGAAAAGAGAGUUAAACAGUACGUGAAAUUGUCAAAAGGGAAGCGUUUGACACCAGUGUUGUUUUUCCGAAAAUCAAUUAAGAAUGGCUUGAUUUUGUGUUGUAUUGACCUUAUCAGCUUUCUUCACUCUUUUUCGAGUCUUUCUUAAUGCACUUUUCGGUUAACAAGUCAACAUCAAUUUCUUUUGUUGUAAAAGGGUAUUUGGAAGGUGGCUUUCUUUUCGGAGAAAGUGUUUAUAGCCUUAUACCUCUACAAUCGGAGAGAUUGAGGUCUGCAGCGUAGAUCCUUCGGGAGCUAGAUACACUUGUGCUAAGUUAUAGCUUUUCAUAGACAACUUGUUGACUAUGUUUAGUCAUGUAGCUUACCCGCUUGUGCUAUUUUACCUACGCUUAGGAUGUUGAGUCAUCACACAUCUCU
rnacentral:rRNA from 1 species